AUUUAUUAUGCUUUUUGCUAGAAAAUCAGGACAAAUUAACUGAAUGGGUCAGAUACCCUAACAGAAACUUUGGACAAUUUGACAUAAAGUGCUGCAAAAGAAAAACUUUAAGAAACAAGUAAACAUAUCAUAUUAAAUGUUCAACAAAGUUUAUAUAAGUCAAACAAACAUAAUACAUAAAGCAUGAUAAAAAUAUUAAUCAUAACACAUAAAUUG
rnacentral:misc_RNA from 1 species